rnacentral:lncRNA from 1 species
AACAGUGAGAACCGACGGAACAAUCGUCGAAUCGAGGGAACAACGUUGCAGCUGGGCUUUUUCGCGCGCCUUUCGAGACGCUACAAGUGUCGCACCACAUCAACUGUGCGCAUUGGGAACACGAACAAGUGGAGGCCAUUGUCAUUACCAUUGGGUUGCAAAUGAUGGGAGCCAUGAUCAAGGGACUGUAGGUGCAUCUGAGAAAAGUUCCUGCUUGGUUGUGUGUGCCUGUGCGACUGAACCUUGUGCAACUUUGGGAAUCUUCUGUGGACUGUGCAACAACAAGGCAUGUUCUGUAGACUGAAG